UCCGGCUUACCACCGGCGGUCCCAUUAGAGUGCCCAACUUAAUGAUGGCAACUAAUGGCGUGGGUUGCGCUCGUUGCGGGACUUAACCCAACAUCUCACGACACGAGCUGACGACAGCCAUGCAGCACCUGUGCAGGAUCUCCGAAGAGGGGCUCUCGUUUCUGAGAGCUUGCUCCUGCAUGUCAAGCCUAGGUAAGGUUCUUCGCGUCGCAUCGAAUUAAGCCACAUGCUCCGCCGCUUGUGCGGGUCCCCGUCAAUUCCUUUGAGUUUUAGCCUUGCGGCCGUACUCCCCAGGCGGGGUGCUUAAUGCGUUAGCUGCGGCACGGAAAGGGUUGAAGACCUCCCCACACCUAGCACCCAACGUUUACGGCUGGGACUAC
rnacentral:misc_RNA from 1 species